rnacentral:lncRNA from 1 species
AGUCACCGUUGCGAUGGAUCCCAUGGGUGCCGCCUUGGCCUAGUCUGAGCUAAGUGUUUCAUCCUCACAAUCUUUGGGAUGGAUCCCAUGGGUGUUGCCUGGGCCAAGUCUAAGCUGGCACUUUUUUGCAUGGCCGAAGUCACUUUCAUGCCUAGAUAGAUCUGACUUGAAUUUUGGAGAGGUUGUGAGCUGUGAAAGCUAGGUCUCAUCCAUU